rnacentral:tRNA from 1 species
CCUCCGAUAGCUCAAGUGGUAGAGCGUUGGGUGCUUAGCCCAGAGAUGCUGGUUCGAGUCCAGCUCGGAGGA